rnacentral:rRNA from 1 species
GCCAGACUCCUACGGGAGGCAGCAGUGGGGGAUAUUGCACAAUGGGGGGAACCCUGAUGCAGCGACGCCGCGUGGGUGAAGGAGCGUUUCGGCGCGUAAAGCCCUAUCGGCAGGGAAGAAGGAGGACGGUACCUGACUAAGAAGCCCCGGCUAACUACGUGCCAGCAGCCGCGGUAAUACGUAGGGGGCAAGCGUUAUCCGGAUUUACUGGGUGUAAAGGGGGCGCAGACGGCAGCGCAAGCCAGGAGUGAAAGCCCGGGGCCCAACCCCGGGACUGCUCUUGGAACUGCGCGGCUGGAGUGCAGGAGGGGCAGGCGGAAUUCCUGGUGUAGCGGUGAAAUGCGUAGAUAUCAGGAGGAACACCGGUGGCGAAGGCGGCCUGCUGGACUGUGACUGACGUUGAGGCCCGAAGGCGUGGGGAGCAAACAGGAUUAGAUACCCCCGUAC